rnacentral:rRNA from 1 species
UGAACGCUAGCGACAGGCCUAACACAUGCAAGUCGAGGGGCAGCACGAAGUAAGCUUGCUUACUUGGUGGCGACCGGCGCACGGGUGCGUAACAGGUGUGCAAUCUGUCCAUAAUCGGGGAAUAGCCCAGCGAAAGUUGGAUUAAAUGCUCCAUGUGAGCUUGAGAGGCAUCUCUCGGGUUUGAAACGUAAGGAUUAUGGGUGAGCACGCUUCUGAUUAGGUAGUUGGUGAGGUAACGGCUCACCAAGCCGACGAUCAGUAGGGGUUCUGAGAGGAAGGUCCCCCACAUUGGAACUGAGACACGGUCCAAACUCCUACGGGAGGCAGCAGUGAGGAAUAUUGGUCAAUGGGCGAGAGCCUGAACCAGCCAAGUAGCGUGAAGGAUGACUGCCCUACGGGUUGUAAACUUCUUUUGUUUGGGAAUAAAAGACGCUACGUGUAGCGUUGUGCAUGUACCUUACGAAUAAGCAUCGGCUAAUUCCGUG